GUAGAGAUCAGGAAGAACAUCGGUGGCGAAGGCGCUCUGCUGGACCAUAACUGACACUCAGGGACGAAAGCUAGGGGAGCGAAUGGGAUUAGAUACCCCAGUAGUCCUAGCCGUAAACGAUGGAUACUAGGUGUUGUCUGUAUCGACCCGGACAGUGCCGUAGCUAACGCGUUAAGUAUCCGCCUGGGGAGUACGGCCGCAAGGCUGAAACUCAAAGGAAUUGACGGGGACCCGCACAAGCGGUGGAGCAUGUGGUUUAAUUCGAAGCUACGCGAAGAACCUUACCAGGUCUUGACAUCCCGCUGCCCGGCAUAGAGAUAUGCCUUUCCCGUUCGGGGACAGCGGUGACAGGUGGUGCAUGGUUGUCGUCAGCUCGUGUCGUGAGAUGUUGGGUUAAGUCCCGCAACGAGCGCAGUCGACGCGGCCG
rnacentral:rRNA from 1 species